GGGAAUGUAGCUGAGUGGUACAGUGCUUGCCUAGCAUGCAUGAGUCCCAGGGUUCAGUCCCCACUACCA
rnacentral:tRNA from 1 species